AGUGAACGCUGGCGGUAGGCCUAACACAUGCAAGUCGAACGGCAGCACAGUAAGAGCUUGCUCUUACGGGUGGCGAGUGGCGGACGGGUGAGGAAUACAUCGGAAUCUACUUUUUCGUGGGGGAUAACGUAGGGAAACUUACGCUAAUACCGCAUACGACCUACGGGUGAAAGCAGGGGAUCUUCGGACCUUGCGCGAUUGAAUGAGCCGAUGUCGAAUUAGCUAGUUGGCGGGGUAAGGGCCCACCAAGGCGACGAUCCGUAGCUGGUCUGAGAGGAUGAUCAGCCACACUGGAACUGAGACACGGUCCAGACUCCUACGGGAGGCAGCAGUGGGGAAUAUUGGACAAUGGGCGCAAGCCUGAUCCAGCCAUACCGCGUGGGUGAAGAAGGCCUUCGGGUUGUAAAGCCCUUUUGUUGGGAAAGAAAAGCAGCAGGUUAAUACCCCGCUGUUCUGACGGUACCCAAAGAAUAAGCACCGGCUAACUUCGUG
rnacentral:rRNA from 1 species